UACGUAGGGUGCAAGCGUUGUCCGGAAUUAUUGGGCGUAAAGAGCUCGUAGGCGGUCUGUCACGUCGGCUGUGAAAUCCCGAGGCUCAACCUCGGGUCUGCAGUCGAUACGGGCAAACUAGAGUAUUGCAGGGGAGACUGGAAUUCCUGGUGUAGCGGUGAAAUGCGCAGAUAUCAGGAGGAACACCGGUGGCGAAGGCGGGUCUCUGGGCCGAUACUGACGCUGAGGAGCGAAAGCGUGGGGGAGCGAACAGG
rnacentral:rRNA from 1 species